ACAAUUAGAGAAUGAAAAGAAGAAAAGAGAAAUAGCAGAAAAAGAAAAGGAAAGAAUAGAACGUGAAAAGGAAGAGCUAAUGGAACGUCUAAGGCAGAUUGAAGAACAGACAAUGAAAGCUCAGAAAGGUUGUAUAAUAAAAAUAUUAAUAAUUUACAUACAGAAAACUCCUCAAGUAAAGAAGCACUAAAAAAUAUAAGGAAGACAGAACUUAAGAAAGAAUAUAGAGCAUCCCUAUCAAGACAAUUUCAGAUCAGUCAUCUUAAGGCAAAGGACAUCCAAGUUGUUUUUUGUUUUUGCUUUGUUUUUCUAAUAAAGCUUUCACAGGCUACCUUAAAAUCUGCAUGAUUAUCUUGUAAUUUAUGCUAAAUUCUCAUUCAAAUGCAGUAACUUUGCCCAUAUUUAACUCAUGAUAUUUAGUAGAUUAACUUGUAAUUUUUCAUUGAAGAAGAAACUUUAAUACUUUAUUAUUAUUAGAAAAAAUUUUUUAUUGAUGUCUUUAUUAUUUCAUAUCAAUCAUUAAACAGAACUAUUUUUCCA